UACGUAGGGACCGAGCGUUGUCCGGAAUCAUUGGGCGUAAAGAGCGUGUAGGCGGCCGAUCAAGUUCAGCGUGAAAUCUCACGGCUCAACCGUGAGCAGCCGUGGAAAACUGGUCGGCUAGAGUGCGGGAGAGGAGAGUGGAAUUCCUGGUGUAGCGGUGAAAUGCGUAGAGAUCGGGAGGAACAUCAGUUGCGAAGGCGGCUCUCUGGACCAGCACUGACACUGAGGCACGAAAGCGUGGGGAGCAAACAGG
rnacentral:rRNA from 1 species